rfam:Dipodomys ordii contig_50718, whole genome shotgun sequence.
GGGACUGUUGCUUAGUAGUAGAGUGCUUGCCUUACAUGCAUGAAGCUCUGGGUUUGAUUCCUUAGUACCA